UACGUAGGGGGCUAGCGUUGUCCGGAAUCACUGGGCGUAAAGAGCGUGUAGGCGGCCAGAAAAGUCCGCUGUGAAAACUCGAGGCUCAACUUCGAGCUGUCGGUGGAAACUUUCUGGCUAGAGUCCGGAAGAGGCGAGUGGAAUUCCUGGUGUAGCGGUGGAAUGCGCAGAUAUCAGGAAGAACACCCGUGGCGAAGGCGGUUCUCUGGGACGGUACUGACGCUGAGACGCGAAAGCGUGGGGAGCGAACAGG
rnacentral:rRNA from 1 species